UCAGGAUGAACGCUAGCUACAGGCUUAACACAUGCAAGGUCGAGGGGCAGCAUAACGAAGCUUGCUUUGUUGAUGGCGACCGGCGCACGGGUGAGUAACGCGUAUCCAACCUUCCCUAUACUAGAGGAUAGCCCGGCGAAAGUCGGAUUAAUACUCUAUGUUCUUCGUAGAAGACAUCUGAAAUGAAGCAAAGGUUUACCGGUAUAGGAUGGGGAUGCGUCUGAUUAGGUUGUUGGCGGGGUAACGGCCCACCAAGCCCACGAUCAGUAGGGGUUCUGAGAGGAAGGUCCCCCACAUUGGAACUGAGACACGGUCCAAACUCCUACGGGAGGCAGCAGUGAGGAAUAUUGGUCAAUGGACGAGAGUCUGAACCAGCCAAGUAGCCGUGCAGGAUGACGGCCCUAUGGGUUGUAAACUGCUUUUAUACAGGGAUAAAGUGACGUACGUGUACGUUUUUGUAGGUACUGUAUGAAUAAGGACCAGCUAAUUCCGUGCCAGCCGCCGC
rnacentral:rRNA from 1 species